GUGUAUUGAUGUUUACUUCAAUAACUUACAAUUUUUUUUUCCUUUUUGUAGGUAUGGCAAGUUCAUUCUUCUACAUUGUGUAGUAGACCAUGGUAUUAGAAGUUUAUUUUACUACCCGGUAUAGAAGACCAUGUAAAGAACAUUUAACAACUUCCUACAUUACCAUACUCUGCUCCAGUUGUGCUAUUAGCAUAAGUCUUGACAUCUUUCCAAAAUCUUAUGAUCUGCACUUUCUGUUCUGUGAAGUAAUCAACAGUUUCCACUAUGAAAAGCUCCCGCAACAUAAAAACCUGGCUGCGUCCCAUUGUCAGUUUUUUUUUUUUGUCUUACAUAAAAUAUACAUCUCUUCUACUA